UACGAAGGGGGCUAGCGUUGCUCGGAAUCACUGGGCGUAAAGGGUGCGUAGGCGGUUUUUUAAGUCCGGGGUGAAAUCCUGGAGCUCAACUCCAGAACUGCCUUUGAUACUGAAGAUCUUGAGUUCGGGAGAGGUGAGUGGAACUGCGAGUGUAGAGGUGAAAUUCGUAGAUAUUCGCAAGAACACCAGUGGCGAAGGCGGCUCACUGGCCCGAUACUGACGCUGAGGCACGAAAGCGUGGGGAGCAAACAGG
rnacentral:rRNA from 1 species